AAUUCAUGUUGAGGAUAUUUCCUCAGAAGAUCAUUGAACCUUUCCCAUAUCUCAAAGAGAGACUCCAAUUCCAUUUGCACAAAGGAAGAUAUCUGAUUCCUGAGCUU